rnacentral:snoRNA from 1 species
ACUCUCCAGAUUCCUUAACUGUCAGACCUAAAUAUUGGUCUGAAUGGCUGAAAAAAGGAGGAAAAGUGAAACUGAAGUGGACUUGGAGUCUUUAGUGACAAAUAAGUUUGUUACAAACAUAU